rnacentral:piRNA from 1 species
AACAGAGCCAGGGGACAGUGCCAAAGAUGC